UGUUGAUCAUAUCACUUCUUUUUUAAUCUGCUCAAAUUAGUCUCGAUGAACUUUUCUCGGUUCUUGUCCCUUGUCAUGCUACACAUGGUUGCAGUGACAAUGGAUUUGGACUGUCCUUUUGGUGGACCAUACUUGGCUGGCCCAUGCCACAAAAUCCACCCCAGAUCCACUAUCAUUCAGGGUUGGUUUUCUACCAAGGGCCAUCCAUAUGUAGGGCCUCCAGAUUGUCCAACUACACAGCCAUGCAUUGGGGACAGUUCUUUCUACUUGUCUCGAUGGACAGUUAUUAGUUCAUUACAGCUGCAUACGGGCAUACCUUAGGCAUCACAUUGGGACUAUAGUUUUAUAUGGGGAGGAAUUUCAGGAACCUGCUCAUUGACGAACAUAGCGCUUGUUUGGUGUGUGUUAUACAUUUGUGUGUACAGCGUUGUCUGGAAGAAGUGUCCUUUUUUUUUUUUUGCCUGCAUGUAUAGCCCCUUCUUUUGCCACACUGUAUAUAACCCUCUCACUUUUACAUA